UGCAUUCGUUUGCAUUAAAUGCAUUUUUCGACAUUCACAUCAACUUAACCAUGGCGUUUGCCAACAUAUCAAUCUAUAGCAACGCGUAAUUGUUUGUUGUGAAAAUUCGGAAUUGUCGCACUCUUUCCAAUAUCGUUAAGAACAGGUCUAGAUACAGCUAUUUUUUAGACUAGGAAAAAAACAUUGUGUUGACUGUUGAGGAAUACUGAGCUUGCUUCCCAAUAGGAACGGAACUAGUCAAAAGCAUGAAGACCGAAACUCUUGCCGGAAACCCACAGCCUUUAGGAUUUCCUAAAAAAUACAUUAGCCCCACUGAGCUGAAAACAUCCUUACGUGGUUGAGUGGAUUUGCUUGAAAUUGAAGUAUUUUAAAAUAUGAGAAAGAACAAGAAAAAACUCCGAACAAUA